rnacentral:rRNA from 1 species
AGUUCGGAUAAGAGGCUGAAACUCGCCUCUUUGAAGUCGGAAUCGCUAGUAAUCGCAGAUCAGCAUGUUGCGGUGAAUACGUUUCCUGGUCUUGUACACACCGCCCGUCAAACCAUGAGAGUCGCCAACACCCGAAGUCCGCUUUGCGGCCUAAGGUGGGGAGAUGAUUGGGGUUAAGUCGUAACAAGGUAGC